UGUUUUUCCAAAACAAACUCGUCGGCCUGCAUCCUGCCCUAGUCUCAAAACACAAGAACGCUGCUCUGCCUCUUUCUAUCAAUCUCUCCGAAUAUUUGUUUUCUCAAAGUAAGGGUUACGAAUUGAUUUGUGAAUCGAAAGCCUGCCCUAAUUUUCAACCUCUCUUUGCGAAUUCAGGGCGGGAAAGAUGGCAAUCCACCAGAUUUGGCAACAAUUUUCUUUGAGACUCGUAAGAAAAAUAACAAGCUUGUUGAACCUGAAGCAAUUGAAAAACAUGCUCAGAUUGAAGAAAUAGUUCAAUCUGAUCCAUCUUUACCUACCAUAGAGAUAGUAGAAAAAUAUUGUGGACCUCAAACUCGUAGCCAUGUAUUUGGCUUUGGGAUGGAGUAAAGGCGAAAGACUUGAAAGGUGGCACUUCUUCAAAGGCUGAAUUACUGUCCGUGCUACGUUCAACUCGAGAGGAAAAUAAAUCUUUGAAUGAGGAAAACAAAUCCUUACAUGAUCGCUUGUCUACCUUAGAAGAUGAGAUGAAAGAAAUGAGGAAAAUAAAGGAAUACUUCGCUGCUAAACAAUCACAUGUCUCGCCUUCGACAUCGCACGUUUCAACUGAAUGACCACUACUUUUGUCUGCUGACCAACCUUGUUGAUAUUGCUGGAUAACACUUGAUGAAUUUAGACUGCUUUUGGGGUUGUGAAGAUUGAAACUACAAGUCAAGAUGCAAGUUUGGAAGAUACACAAGCUCAUUAUUAUUUUGCUAUGUAAAACUUGAUAUCAUAUAGUCUAGCUCAGGAUGUUAGCUAAGUUUUUUUGUUAAGGUGUCGAGCAAAUACUGAAACUAACAUCAUGGGAUGUUAACAUUGCAAUUAAUAACUUUAUUACCUUUUUAUAUCUAGA